UGAAAAUUUCUGGUUGCCAUACUAAACAAGG
rnacentral:piRNA from 1 species